rnacentral:rRNA from 1 species
AUACGGAGGGUGCAAGCGUUAAUCGGAAUUACUGGGCGUAAAGCGUACGUAGGCGGUUAUUUAAGUCAGAUGUGAAAGCCCCGGGCUUAACUUGGGAACUGCAUUUGAAACUGGGUAACUAGAGUUUACUAGAGGGGAGUGGAAUUUCAGGUGUAGCGGUGAAAUGCGUAGGGAUCUGAAGGAACACCAGUGGCGAAGGCGACUCCCUGGACUAAAACUGACGCUGAGGUACGAAAGCGUGGGUAGCAAACAGAAUUAGAAACCCCAGUAGUCC